GAUGAACGCUGGCAGAAUGCUUAACACAUGCAAGUCGUUCGCGAAGCUGUGCUUGCACAUCCUAGCCAAGGCGGACGGGUGGGGAACGCGUAAGGAACUUGCCCUGCCUUCAGGGAUAACAGACGGAAACGACUCAGAAGCCCUGGUAAAGUCAGGCUGACUCAUGUACAGCCUGAUGAGAAGAGAUGCUGCAGGAGAGCCUUGCGUCCGAUUAGCUUGUUGGUGAGGUAACGGCCCACCAAGGGGAUGAUAGGGAGCCGGCCUGAGAGGGUGGACGGCCACAAGGGGAGUGAGACACGGCUCUGACUCCUACGGGAGGGAGCGGUGGGGAAUAUUAGACAAUGCGGGCAACUCAGAUCCAGCAAUGCUGUGUGCAAGAUGAUGGUUUUCGGAUAAUAAAGUGCUUAGAGAAGGGACGAAAAAAUGAGGGUACUUGCAAAAGAAGCGCGGGCUAAAUACGU
rnacentral:rRNA from 1 species